CUUGGAAGCAGCCAUUCAUUUAAAGAGUGCGUAACAGCUCACUAGUCGAGCGAUCCCGCGUGGAUAAUACACGGGCAUUAAACUGUCAACCGAAGCCGUGGGGUCAGCGAAAAGCUGACCGGUAGGAGAGCAUUCCUGCCAGCGUUGAAGGUCACCCGCGAGAGUGACUGGAGCGGCAUGAAAAGCAAAUGUAGGCAUAAGUAACGAUAAUGGGGGCGAGAACCCCCCACGCCGCAAGACCAAGGCUUCCCCGGCAAUGUCAAUCAGCCGGGGGUCAGCCGGCCUCUAAGGCUAACCCGAAGGGGGAUGCCGACGAGAAACGGGUUAACAUUCCCGUGCUUCUCGUCACCGUGACGCGGUGACGGGGUGAUGAAUGGACCGCGCGCUGACGGAAUAGCGCGUUGAAGGCCGUACCCUUCGAGGGUGGUAGUCAAGCACGCCACCCGAGGCGACAGCCGAUAGUACCACGAGACUCCGGUCGAGUGGAUAGCGUCCAGGCAAUUUACCCCCGAGAAAACCCGCUAAACUUCAAGUGACGAGGAACCGUACUGUAAACGGACACACGUGGUCGGGUAGAACAUACCAAGGCGCUCGAGUGAUUCAUGGUCAAGGAACUAGGCAAAAUAGUCCUGUAACUUCGGGAAAAAGGACGCUCUAGUGAUAGAGCCGCAGAGUAAUGGCCCAGGCGACUGUUUACCAAAAACACAUGGCUAUGCCAAAUCGAAAGAUGACGUAUAUGGCCUGACACCUGCCCGGUGCCGGAAGGUUAAGAGGAGAGCUCAUCGGAAACGAGAAGGUUUGAAUUGAAGCCCCGGUAAACGGCGGCCGUAACUAUAACGGUCCUAAGGUAGCGAAAUUCCUUGUCGGGUAAGUUCCGACCUGCACGAAUGGUGUAACGAUCUGGGCACUGUCUCGACCAUGAGCUCGGUGAAAUUGUAGUUCCGGUGAAGAUGCCGGGUACCCGCGACGGGACGGAAAGACCCCGUGAACCUUUACUGCAGCUUCGCGUUGUUCCCGGGCACGGGACGUGUAGGAUAGGUCGGAGGCUACGAUUCGGUUUCGCCAGGAAUCGAGGAGCCAUCGUUGAAAUACGACCCUUCUCUUGUCUGGGAUCUAACCCUAGGUACAGGGGACACCGCGUGGUGGGUAGUUUGACUGGGGUGGUCGCCUCCAAAAGCGUAACGGAGGCUUCCAAAGGUACCCUCGGGUUGGUUGGUAAUCAACCUCAGAGUGCAAUGGCACAAGGGUGCUUGACCGGGAGACCAACGAGUCGAUCGGGUGCGAAAGCAGGGCAUAGUGAUCCGGUGAUCCCGCGUGGAAGGGUCAUCGCUCAAAGGAUAAAAGGUACUCCGGGGAUAACAGGCUGAUCGCCCCCAAGAGCUCAUAUCGACGGGGCGGUUUGGCACCUCGAUGUCGGCUCGUCACAU
rnacentral:rRNA from 1 species